GGCCAGUUAGCUCAGUUGGUUAGAGCGCAGUGUUGCUAACACUAAGGUCAGGGGUUCAGAUCCCCGUACUGGCCA